CGCCUCUUGACAACUUAUAAGAGGUCCAGCCUGCCCAGUGACAAAGUUCAACGGCCGCGGUACCCUAACCGUGCGAAGGUAGCAUAAUCACUUGUUCUUUAAAUAAGGACUUGUAUCAAAGGCAUCACGAGGGCUACACUGUCUCCUUUCUCCAAUCAGUGAAACUGAUCUUCCCGUGAAGAAGCGGGAAUCUACUUAUAAGACGAGAAGACCCCAUGGAGCUUUAAACCCAUUAUAUACCUCUGUUUAUUCACACCAAAAUAACCUAAAAGACUUAUAUACUGGUUUUAGGUUGGGGGGACCACGGAGUAAAACUUAACCUCCACGACAAAUGGGCUACGCCCUUAUUUAAGAACUACAAUUCUAAAAAUCAAUAAAUUAAUGUUAAAUGACCCGAAUUAUCGAUCAACGAACCAAGUUACCCUGGGGAUAACAGCGCAAUCUACUUCAAGAGCCCCUAUCGCCAAGUAGGUUUACGACCUCGAUGUUGGAUCAGGGUAUCCCAGUGGUGCAGCCGCUACUAAAGGUUCGUUUGUUCAACGAUUAAAACCCU
rnacentral:rRNA from 1 species